GGGCGCAGGCGGCCGGUCCGUCGCAAGGCGUGUACUGGCCGUCCUGGCCCUCACCUCCGGUUUCUCCGCCGGUGCCCUUGACUGAGUGUCGGCGGCGGCCGGAACGUUUACUUUGAAAAAAUUAGAGUGUUCAAAGCAGGCGAUUCGCCUGAAUAAUGGUGCAUGGAAUAAUGGAAUAGGACCUCGGUUCUAUUUUGUUGGUUUUCGGAGCGCGAGGUAAUGAUUAAGAGGGACAGACGGGGGCAUUCGUACUGUGCCGUUAGAGGUGAAAUUCUUGGAUCGGCGCAAGACGAACGACUGCGAAAGCAUUUGCCAAGAAUGUUUUCUUUAAUCAAGAGCGAAAGUCAGAGGUUCGAAGACGAUCAGAUACCGUCCUAGUUCUGACUAUAAACGAUGCCAACUAGCGAUCGGGGGGCGUUAGUUUUACGACCUCUCCGGCAGCUUGCGGGAAACCAAAGUCUUUGGGUUCCGGGGGAAGUAUGGUUGCAAAGCUGAAACUUAAAGGAAUUGACGGAAGGGCACCACCAGGAGUGGAGCCUGCGGCUUAAUUUGACUCAACACGGGAAAUCUCACCCGGCCCGGACACAGUGAGGAUUGACAGAUUGAGAGCUCUUUCUUGAUUCUGUGGGUGGUGGUGCAUGGCCGUUCUUAGUUGGUGGAGCGAUUUGUCUGGUUAAUUCCGAUAACGAACGAGACUCUGGCUUGCUAACUAGUUACGCGACCCAAUCGGUCGGCGUCUAACUUCUUAGAGGGACUAGUGGCGUUUAGCCACACGAGAUUGAGCAAUAACAGGUCUGUGAUGCCCUUAGAUGUUCGGGGCCGCACGCGCGCUACACUGACCGGAUCAGCAUGUGCUCGCCUUGGCCGACAGGUCUGGGUAACCCGCUGAACCCCGGUCGUGCUAGGGAUAGGGAAUUGCAAUUAUUUCCCUUGAACGAGGAAUUCCC
rnacentral:rRNA from 1 species